AUACGGAGGAUCCGAGCGUUAUCCGGAUUUAUUGGGUUUAAAGGGAGCGCAGGCGGAGAUGCAAGCGUGACGUCAAAUUUCGGGGCUCAACCCCGUCUCGCGUCGCGAACUGCGUCCCUUGGUUGCGGGAAGGGGAGGCGGAACUCGUGGUGUAGCGGUGAAAUGCAUAGAUAUCACGAAGAACUCCGAUCGCGAAGGCAGCCUACCGGCCCGUCAACGACGCUCAUGCUCGAAGGUGCGGGGAUCAAACAGGAUUAGAUACCCUGGUAGUCCGCACAGUAAACGAUGGACACCCGCGGUUUGGCCUGUAUGGCUGAGCCGCCAAGCGAAAGCGUUAAGUGUCCCACCUGGGGAGUACGCCGGCAACGGUGAAACUCAAAUGAAUUGGCGGGG
rnacentral:rRNA from 1 species